rnacentral:tRNA from 1 species
UAGCUCAGUGGUAGAGCACUUGCCUAACAAGCACAAGGCCCUGGGUUCAAUCCCCAG